rnacentral:lncRNA from 1 species
UAUGGCAAUGAAGAAAGAAACUGAAUUUGUCAUUUUCACCUGAAGAAAAAUGAUAGACAAAAAUCAAACCUGUGGUGUAGGACAGGAUUCUGUGCCCUAUAUGAUUUGUCUGAUUCACAUACUCGAAGAAUGGUUUGGUGUGGAGCAGUUGGAGGACUAUUUGAAUUUUGCAAACUAUCUCUUGUGGGUUUUUACACCACUAAUACUUUUAAUACUUCCUUACUUUACUAUCUUUCUUCUCUACCUUACUAUUAUUUUCUUACACAUUUAUAAGAGAAAGAAUGUAUUGAAAGAAGCCUACUCUCAUAAUUUAUGGGAUGGUGCAAGGAAAACAGUGGCAACUCUGUGGGAUGGACAUGCAGCCGUUUGGCAUGGGUUUAGUUUAUUACUGGAUGUGUUUUGUGCUCUACAUGGACCAAGAGAAAAAUGUGUUGAAAUUCUGAGGAGUGGCCACUUGUUAGCUAUCUCACCAGGUGGAGUU